UACGGAGGGUGCGAGCGUUGUCCGGAAUCACUGGGCGUAAAGGGCGCGUAGGCGGCUCAUGAAGGCUGUGGUGAAAGUCCGGGGCUCAACCUCGGAUCGGCCGUGGCGACUCGUGGGCUGGAGCACUGUAGAGGCGGGUGGAAUUCCGGGUGUAGCGGUGGAAUGCGUAGAGAUCCGGAAGAACACCAGUGGCGAAGGCGGCUUUCUGGUCCGAUACUGACGCUGAGGUGCGAAAGCGUGGGGGAGCGAGUCCGG
rnacentral:rRNA from 1 species